UUAAGCGACUAAGCGUACACGGUGGAUGCCCUGGCAGUCAGAGGCGAUGAAGGACGUGCUAAUCUGCGAAAAGCGCCGGCGAGGUGAUAUGAACCUUUGACCCGGCGAUGUCCGAAUGGGGAAACCCAGUGCAAUCCGUUGCACUAUCGUUAACUGAAUACAUAGGUUAACGAGGCGAACCGGGGGAACUGAAACAUCUAAGUACCCCGAGGAAAAGAAAUCAACCGAGAUUCCCCCAGUAGCGGCGAGCGAACGGGGAGCAGCCCGGAGUCUGAAUCAGCUUGUGUGUUAGUGGAACGGUCUGGAAAGUCCGACGGUACAGGGUGAUAGUCCCGUACACGAAAGCACACAUGCUGUGAACUCGAAGAGUAGGGCGGGACACGUGGUAUCCUGUCUGAAUAUGGGGGGACCAUCCUCCAAGGCUAAAUACUCCUGACUGACCGAUAGUGAACCAGUACCGUGAGGGAAAGGCGAAAAGAACCCCGGCGAGGGGAGUGAAAAAGAACCUGAAACCGUGUACGUACAAGCAGUGGGAGCCUCUUUAUGGGGUGACUGCGUACCUUUUGUAUAAUGGGUCAGCGACUUAUAUUCUGUAGCAAGGUUAACCGUAUAGGGGAGCCGAAGGGAAACCGAGUCUUAACUGGGCGUUAAGUUGCAGGGUAUAGACCCGAAACCCGGUGAUCUAGCCAUGGGCAGGUUGAAGGUUGGGUAACACUAACUGGAGGACCGAACCGACUAAUGUUGAAAAAUUAGCGGAUGACCUGUGGCUGGGGGUGAAAGGCCAAUCAAACCGGGAGAUAGCUGGUUCUCCCCGAAAGCUAUUUAGGUAGCGCCUCGUGAACUCAUCUUCGGGGGUAGAGCACUGUUUCGGCUAGGGGGCCAUCCCGGCUUACCAACCCGAUGCAAACUACGAAUACCGAAGAAUGUUAUCACGGGAGACACACGGCGGGUGCUAACGUCCGUCGUGAAGAGGGAAACAACCCAGACCGCCAGCUAAGGUCCCAAAGUCAUGGUUAAGUGGGAAACGAUGUGGGAAGGCACAGACAGCCAGGAUGUUGGCUUAGAAGCAGCCAUCAUUUAAAGAAAGCGUAAUAGCUCACUGGUCGAGUCGGCCUGCGCGGAAGAUGUAACGGGGCUAAACCAUGCACCGAAGCUGCGGCAGCGACGCUUAGGCGUUGUUGGGUAGGGGAGCGUUCUGUAAGCCGUUGAAGGUGUGCUGUGAGGCAUGCUGGAGGUAUCAGAAGUGCGAAUGCUGACAUAAGUAACGAUAAAGCGGGUGAAAAGCCCGCUCGCCGGAAGACCAAGGGUUCCUGUCCAACGUUAAUCGGGGCAGGGUGAGUCGACCCCUAAGGCGAGGCCGAAAGGCGUAGUCGAUGGGAAACAGGUUAAUAUUCCUGUACUUGGUGUUACUGCGAAGGGGGGACGGAGAAGGCUAUGUCAGCCGGGCGACGGUUGUCCCGGUUUAAGCAUGUAGGCGGAGGUUCCAGGUAAAUCCGGUACCUUAUUAACGCUGAGGUGUGAUGACGAGGCACUACGGUGCUGAAGUGAUAAAUGCCCUGCUUCCAGGAAAAGCCUCUAAGCAUCAGGUAACACGAAAUCGUACCCCAAACCGACACAGGUGGUCAGGUAGAGAAUACCAAGGCGCUUGAGAGAACUCGGGUGAAGGAACUAGGCAAAAUGGUGCCGUAACUUCGGGAGAAGGCACGCUGAUAUGUAGGUGAAGUCCCUGCGGACGGAGCUGAAAUCAGUCGAAGAUACCAGCUGGCUGCAACUGUUUAUUAAAAACACAGCACUGUGCAAACACGAAAGUGGACGUAUACGGUGUGACGCCUGCCCGGUGCCGGAAGGUUAAUUGAUGGGGUUAGCGGCAACGCGAAGCUCUUGAUCGAAGCCCCGGUAAACGGCGGCCGUAACUAUAACGGUCCUAAGGUAGCGAAAUUCCUUGUCGGGUAAGUUCCGACCUGCACGAAUGGCGUAAUGAUGGCCAGGCUGUCUCCACCCGAGACUCAGUGAAAUUGAACUCGCUGUGAAGAUGCAGUGUACCCGCGGCAAGACGGAAAGACCCCGUGAACCUUUACUAUAGCUUGACACUGAACACUGGUCCUUGAUGUGUAGGAUAGGUGGGAGGCUUUGAAGCGUGGACGCCAGUCUGCGUGGAGCCAACCUUGAAAUACCACCCUUUAAUGGCUGGUGUUCUAACGUAGACCCGUAAUCCGGGUUGCGGACAGUGUCUGGUGGGUAGUUUGACUGGGGCGGUCUCCUCCCAAAGAGUAACGGAGGAGCACGAAGGUUGGCUAAUCCUGGUCGGACAUCAGGAGGUUAGUGCAAUGGCAUAAGCCAGCUUGACUGCGAGCGUGACGGCGCGAGCAGGUGCGAAAGCAGGUCAUAGUGAUCCGGUGGUUCUGAAUGGAAGGGCCAUCGCUCAACGGAUAAAAGGUACUCCGGGGAUAACAGGCUGAUACCGCCCAAGAGUUCAUAUCGACGGCGGUGUUUGGCACCUCGAUGUCGGCUCAUCACAUCCUGGGGCUGAAGUAGGUCCCAAGGGUAUGGCUGUUCGCCAUUUAAAGUGGUACGCGAGCUGGGUUUAGAACGUCGUGAGACAGUUCGGUCCCUAUCUGCCGUGGGCGCUGGAGAAUUGAGGGGGGCUGCUCCUAGUACGAGAGGACCGGAGUGGACGCAUCACUGGUGUUCGGGUUGUCAUGCCAAUGGCACUGCCCGGUAGCUAAAUGCGGAANGCUGACGAGUGGCGGACGGGUGAGUAAUGUCUGGGAAACUGCCUGAUGGAGGGGGAUAACUACUGGAAACGGUAGCUAAUACCGCAUAACGUCGCAAGACCAAAGAGGGGGACCUUCGGGCCUCUUGCCAUCGGAUGUGCCCAGAUGGGAUUAGCUAGUAGGUGGGGUAACGGC
rnacentral:rRNA from 1 species